AGCUCCAAUAGCGUAUAUUAAAGUUGCUGCGUUUAAAAAGCUCGUAGUUGGAUCUCAGUCUCGAUCGGUCGGUCCAUCCUCUGGGUGGUUAUUGGUUUAAUUGGACGUUGUUGGCCACGUUUCCGAGCAUGCUCUUCAUUGAGUGUGUUCCGGAGAGUGGAGCGUUUACUUUGAAAAAAUUAGAGUGCUCAAAGCAGGCGUUGUGCCUGGAUAGUCGUGCAUGGAAUGAUGGAAUAGGGCCUCGGUUCUAUUUUGUUGGUUUCCGGAACUCGAGGUAAUGAUUAAUAGGGACGGACGGGGGCAUUUGUAUUGCGACGUUAGAGGUGAAAUUCUUAGAUCGUCGCAAGACAAACUACUGCGAAAGCAUUUGCCAAGAAUGUUUUCAUUAAUCAAGAACGAA
rnacentral:rRNA from 1 species